UACGGGGGGAGCAAGCGUUGUUCGGAUUUACUGGGCGUAAAGGGCGCGUAGGCGGCGUGACAAGUCACUUGUGAAAUCUCCGGGCUUAACCCGGAACGGUCAAGUGAUACUGUCGUGCUAGAGUACAGAAGGGGCAACUGGAAUUCUCGGUGUAGCGGUGAAAUGCGUAGAUAUCGAGAGGAACACCUGCGGCGAAGGCGGGUUGCUGGGCUGAUACUGACGCUGAGGCGCGAAAGUGUGGGGAGCAAACAGG
rnacentral:rRNA from 1 species